rnacentral:rRNA from 1 species
UACGUAGGGGGCAAGCGUUGUUCGGAAUUACUGGGCGUAAAGGGCGCGUAGGCGGCACAGCAAGUCGGGAGUGAAAGCCCGGGGCUCAACCCCGGAACGUCUUUCGAAACUGCUGAGCUCGAGUGCGGAAGAGGCAACUGGAAUUCCCAGUGUAGCGGGUGAAAUGCGUAGAUAUUGGAAGAACACCUGAGGCGAAGGCGGGUUGCUGGGCCGACACUGACGCUGAGGCGCGAAGCCAGGGAGCAACGGG